rnacentral:rRNA from 1 species
GAUGAACGCUGGCGGCGUGCCUAAUACAUGCAAGUCGAGCGAACGGACGAGAAGCUUGCUUCUCUGAUGUUAGCGGCGGACGGGUGAGUAACACGUGGAUAACCUACCUAUAAGACUGGGAUAACUUCGGGAAACCGGAGCUAUACCGGAUAAUAUUUUUAACCGCAUGGUUUCAAAGUUGAAGACGGUCCUUCCGGCACCUAUUGAUGGAUCCGCGCUGCAUUAGCUAGUUGGUAAGGUAACGGCUUACCAAGGCAACGAUGCAUAGCCGACCUGAGAGGGUGAUCGGCCACACUGGAACUGAGACACGGUCCAGACUCCUACGGGAGGCAGCAGUAGGGAAUCUUCCGCAAUGGGCGAAAGCCUGACGGAGCAACGCCGCGUGAGUGAUGAAGGUCUUCGGAUCGUAAAACUCUGUUAUUAGGGAAGAACAUAUGUGUAAGUAACUGUGCACAUCUUGACGGUACCUAAUCAGAAAGCCACGGCUAACUACGUG